CCUACGGGAGGCAGCAGUGGGGAAUACUGCACAAUGGGCGGAAGCCUGAUGCAGCGACGCCGCGUGAGGGAUGACGGCCUUCGGGUUGUAAACCUCUUUCAGCAGGGACGAAGCGUGAGUGACGGUACCUGCAGAAGAAGCGCCGGCCAACUACGUGCCAGCAGCCGCGGUAAU
rnacentral:rRNA from 1 species